rnacentral:rRNA from 2 species
UUAAAUUGAAGAGUUUGAUCAUGGCUCAGAUUGAACGCUGGCGGCAGGCCUAACACAUGCAAGUCGAACGGUAGCACAGAGAGCUUGCUCUCGGGUGACGA